UGUGUUUCCUAGUCCAAUCUGGCAGUAUUUCUAUACCAACAUAGGAUUUCCAAAUGAACAAAGUACACCCAAACUGACACAGUAUUUUCAAAUUGACACAGUAUUUGCAAACCGACGCACUAUACCCAAAUUGACAAAUUAUUCCCUAACUGACACACUAAUUCCAAAAAUGUCCUCUCCCACUUGACUGGUCUUGCUUGUAAUCCUCUCCCCCUUCUUGUAGAACGUAUCCACCCAGUCACACAGUAAGAGACGUAGCUGGCCUGAUAACCUGUAGCAACCGUCACAAGCUGCACACCCACGGCUGCAGUCUCAGAACUGCGUUUGUUUUUCUCAUUCCUCCUCUCUUCUUCCCUCCAAUCCAGUUUGAUAUUAUAGCUCCAGUAAUUCUGGGGGCUUUAAAACAAACAGCAGUAGCAACAAUCACAUACACGAAACGAGCCAGGGAGAGCGAUCGGGAGGUAUACACACAUAGAAAAGAAACAUUGAAUGUCAUCACAAGGGUUGGGAGUCAACAUUGAUCUCCUGGCAUUCCAAUCAAAGGUGAAUAUGAAUGUGUUUCUGUCCAACUACGCCGUUGCCAUGGCGAUUGUUGGGUUGACCUCCAUAACCCCCCCCCGCCGCACGCUAAUGAAAGGAAUGAAUUCUUAAGCUGUUCUUUUUUUAGUGUGUGUUUUGUGUCGCUCACGGAAAUAAAGCAUCCAUUCCUGCGUGAGACAAAGUGUCAAAUGUCGUCGUUUCAAAAUGGAGUCAUUAGUUCUGCUGUAAUUGAGUUACGUUUUUUUCCUCUUUGCUUUGUUCUGAUGUUUGUAUAAAGCAAGGCAACUAAAUAAAUGAAAGGAGUGGUACAUUUUCCAUGUCGUGACCUCUCUCUCUCUCUCUCUCUCUCUCCCUCUCUCUCUCUCCUGAAUCCCUCCCUCCGAUGUGUUGGACUUUUGAAGUCAAGUCAAUGGCGCUUUAUCAGCAUGAUGUGUUUAUUAAAACCACGUCGCCGAGAGGAACCAACAUAAACAGACAGGCGUUAUUAAACCGGAGAAUCCAUCAAACAUAUCCCCUGCAUCAGGCGUUUGUGGAAUUCAAAUGUAUUGGACUCAACAGUAGUAAUAAUAUCCCCGCGCCGUCGAAAGCAUCUGUAGAAA
ensembl:lncRNA